CAGGAAGUAGUUUAUUUAGAAUGUCAGCUUUGGGUGUUGAUGGUGGGGUGUUGAAACCUUCUUCUUGAU
rnacentral:tRNA from 1 species